UACAGAGGUGGCAAGCGUUGUUCGGAAUUACUGAGCGUAAAGGGCGCGUAGGCGGCCAUCUAAGUCAGACGUGAAAUCCCCCGGCUUAACCUGGGAACUGCGUCUGAUACUGGACGGCUUGAGUAUGGGAGAGGGAUGUAGAAUUCCAGGUGUAGCGGUGAAAUGCGUAGAUAUCUGGAGGAACACCGGUGGCGAAGGCGGAUCUCUGGGCCUUACCUGACGCUCAGGCGCGAAAGCUAGGGGAGCGAACGGG
rnacentral:rRNA from 1 species